GCUUCCAUAGGGUCCAGCUGCUGUUGGGAGUCAGAGGCACUCCCGGACCAUUCCCCCUCCUCUCUGCUUCUCCCUCCAGUGGGCUUAGUCUGUUAGCUGGGAAAAGUGACAUGCUCUUACUUCCUCCAAGUACUGGCUGCCAUUAUUAAAGGGCCCCUGAACACACAUGCCCAUCAAGUGGCCACCCAUUGGGCCCCCUCAGCUUCAAGGCCCCAGUGCAGUAACACCGGCAGUAGUUCUGCCUGUCCAGUAUGCACAUUCCUUUGAAAAAAACAGGGUCAGUUAAUUUUUACUUUUCCUUUUUAAAAGAAUCAAGCAUAUCGAAUAAGCAGAAAGCCAGUCCGGGUGGAUUUCGGUAGGUCAAAUAGAAGUUUAGAGCGUCUUAGAAGUGAAUAGUAAGAGUAGUGCUAACACAGCGUUGCUAAAGUAGGCACAAAGUAGCAG